rnacentral:rRNA from 1 species
UGAACUUUUAAUCUUUAAUAAGGAUCAUUAUUUUUAAUUAAACAUUUAUUUUUGUUUUAUCUUUAAUCAGUUACACAAAAUUAUAAUUUUAUCUCCCCAAUAAAAUAAGAACAAAUAUUAGGAUUUUAUUUAUUAAAUUAACCAAAUAAAAUUUUCUUAUAAAGCUUUAU